rnacentral:rRNA from 1 species
AUUGAACGCUGGCGGCAGGCUUAACACAUGCAAGUCGAGCGGGGGAAGGUAGCUUGCUACCGGACCUAGCGGCGGACGGGUGAGUAAUGCUUAGGAAUCUGCCUAUUAGUGGGGGACAACAUCUCGAAAGGGAUGCUAAUACCGCAUACGUCCUACGGGAGAAAGCAGGGGAUCUUCGGACCUUGCGCUAAUAGAUGAGCCUAAGUCGGAUUAGCUAGUUGGUGGGGUAAAGGCCUACCAAGGCGACGAUCUGUAGCGGGUCUGAGAGGAUGAUCCGCCACACUGGGACUGAGACACGGCCCAGACUCCUACGGGAGGCAGCAGUGGGGAAUAUUGGACAAUGGGGGGAACCCUGAUCCAGCCAUGCCGCGUGUGUGAAGAAGGCCUUAUGGUUGUAAAGCACUUUAAGCGAGGAGGAGGCUACUUUAGUUAAUACCUAGAGACAGUGGACGUUACUCGCAGAAUAAGCACCGGCUAACUCUGUGCCAGCAGCCGCGGUAAUACAGAGGGUGCGAGCGUUAAUCGGAUUUACUGGGCGUAAAGCGUGCGUAGGCGGCUUAUUAAGUCGGAUGUGAAAUCCCCGAGCUUAACUUGGGAAUUGCAUUCGAUACUGGUGAGCUAGAGUAUGGGAGAGGAUGG